CUACGUGCCAGCAGCCGCGGUAAUACGGAAGGUCCAGGCGUUAUCCGGAUUUAUUGGGUUUAAAGGGAGCGUAGGCCGUGGAUUAAGCGUGUUGUGAAAUGUAGACGCUCAACGUCUGAAUUGCAGCGCGAACUGGUUCACUUGAGUAUGCACAACGUAGGCGGAAUUCGUCGUGUAGCGGUGAAAUGCUUAGAUAUGACGAAGAACUCCGAUUGCGAAGGCAGCUUACGGGAGCACAACUGACACUGAAGCUCGAAGGUGCGGGUAUCAAACAGGAUUAGAUACCCUGGUAGUCCGCACAGUAAACGAUGGAUGCCCGUUGUUAGUUCACUUAUGAAUUAGCGACCAAGCGAAAGCAUUAAGCAUCCCACCUGGGGAGUACGCCGGCAACGGUGAAACUCAAAGGAAUUGACGGGGGCCCGCACAAGCGGAGGAACAUGUGGUUUAAUUCGAUGAUACGCGAGGAACCUUACCCGGGCUUGAA
rnacentral:rRNA from 1 species